rnacentral:rRNA from 1 species
UACGUAGGGGGCAAGCGUUGUCCGGAAUCAUUGGGCGUAAAGCGCGUGUAGGCGGCCAGAAAAGUCCGCUGUGAAAACUCGAGGCUCAACUUCGAGCUGUCGGUGGAAACUUUCUGGCUAGAGUCCGGAAGAGGAGAAUGGAAUUCCUGGUGCAGCGGUGAAAUGCGCAGAUAUCAGGAAGAACACCCGUGGCGAAGGCGGUUCUCUGGGACGGUACUGACGCUGAGACGCGAAAGUGUGGGGAUCAAACAGG